GGAGUAGCUCAGUUGGUAGAGCACUGGUCUCCAAAACCAGCGGUCGGGAGUUCGAGCCUCUCCUC
rnacentral:tRNA from 1 species